UUGUCUGUUUCUCUCAGAUCUACUGUUGUUGGUGAUAAGGAGCGCAGUGUACAUGUACACACAGCUACCGGAGUAUUGCUUAAACUAAGGCAGGACUUCUAUACAAAGCUAACUAAACACCGAUCUACUGCUGUUGGUGAUACGGAGCGCAGUGUACCUGUACACAGCUACCGGAGUAUUGCUUAAACUAAGGCAGGGCUUCUAUACAAAGCUAACUAAACACCGAUGCCGCUGUUUCAUGACAUCAGUGAAGGCGAGUUGAGGAGAGGCGACCACAUUUACGUGAGGCGGUUCG